rnacentral:rRNA from 1 species
UUGAUCUUGACUAUCCUACUUGGAUAACUGUGGUAAUUCUAGAGCUAAUACACGCAAUAAAGCUCCGACUUUACGGACGAGCGCAUUUAUUAGACCAAAACCAAUCGGGCUUCGGCCUGAUCACUUGGUGACUCUGAAUAACUGAGCUGAUCGCAUGGUCUUUGUACCGGCGACGCAUCUUUCAAGUGUCUGCCUUAUCAACUUUCGAUGGUAGUUUAUGUGCCUACCAUGGUUGUUACGGGUAACGGAGAAUAAGGGUUCGACUCCGGAGAGGGAGCCUGAGAAACGGCUACCACAUCCAAGGAAGGCAGCAGGCGCGCAAAUUACCCACUCUCGGCACGAGGAGGUAGUGACGAAAAAUAACGAGGCGGUUCUCUAUGAGGCCCGCUAUCGGAAUGGGUACAAUUUAAACCCUUUAACGAGGACCUAUGAGAGGGCAAGUCUGGUGCCAGCAGCCGCGGUAAUUCCAGCUCUCAAGGUGUAUAUCGCCAUUGCUGCGGUUAAAAAGCUCGUAGUUGGAUCUGCGCCUUCGGACUCGGUCCGCCCAACGGGUGUGAACUGGGAUCCAAGGCUUAUACUGCUGGUUUUCCCUUGAUGCUC